GCUCCCGACGCGACCCCAGGUCAGGC
rnacentral:rRNA from 1 species